rnacentral:rRNA from 1 species
GAUCCUGGCUCAGAUUGAACGCUGGCGGCAGGCCUAACACAUGCAAGUCGAACGGUAACAGGAAGAAGCUUGCUCUUGCUGACGAGUGGCGGACGGGUGAGUAAUGUCUGGGAAACUGCCUGAUGGAGGGGGAUAACUACUGGAAACGGUAGCUAAUACCGCAUAACGUCGCAAGACCAAAGAGGGGGACCUUCGGGCCUCUUGCCAUCGGAUGUGCCCAGAUGGGAUUAGCUUGUUGGUGGGGUAACGGCUCACCAAGGCGACGAUCCCUAGCUGGUCUGAGAGGAUGACCAGCCACACUGGAACUGAGACACGGUCCAGACUCCUACGGGAGGCAGCAGUAGGGAAUAUUGCACAAUGGGCGCAAGCCUGAUGCAGCCAUGCCGCCGUGUAUGAAGAAGGCCUUCGGGUUGUAAAGUACUUUCAGCGGGGAGGAAGGGAGUAAAGUUAAUACCUUUGCUCAUUGACGUUACCCGCAGAAGAAGCACCGGCUAACUCCGUGCCAGCCGCUGC